AUUGAACGCUGGCGGCAGGCUUAACACAUGCAAGUCGAGCGGUAACAGAGAGAAGCUUGCUUCUCUGCUGACGAGCGGCGGACGGGUGAGUAAUGCCUAGGAAUCUGCCUAGUAGUGGGGGAUAACUUGCCGAAAGGUAAGCUAAUACCGCAUACGUCCUACGGGAGAAAGGAGGGGACCUUCGGGCCUUUCGCUAUUAGAUGAGCCUAGGUCGGAUUAGUUAGUUGGUGAGGUAAUGGCUCACCAAGACCGCGAUCCGUAACUGGUCUGAGAGGAUGAUCAGUCACAAUGGAACUGAGACACGGUCCAGACUCCUACGGGAGGCAGCAGUGGGGAAUAUUGGACAAUGGGGGGAACCCUGAUCCAGCCAUGCCGCGUGUGUGAGGAAGGUCUUAGGAUUGUAAAGCACUUUAAGUUGGGAGGAAGAGCAGUUAACUAAUAUUUGACUGUUUUGACGUUACCGACAGAAUAAGCACCGGCUAACUUCGUGCCAGCCGCCGCGGUAA
rnacentral:rRNA from 1 species